rnacentral:lncRNA from 1 species
GGGAGCCGGCCAAGGAGCGGAAAAAUCGAUAUACCCAGCUAUAGCUCGGGAGAUGAAAGGGAGGGAAGUGUGCCGCGGGUAGCCGGAUUUACGAGGAAGGUGCAUGCAGCCGUAGCACAGCGCUUGCCAGGAGACUUAGGUCUUCCUUCAGGAAAACACUUAAGACCAACAGGCUGCACGCUGCCCCACGUCCCUACCUUUCACGUGGAAGAAGCCUGAAGCCAGCAAUGACCGCUGCCCACAAGCCCCACGGUUCCCUGGAUGUGCAGCCGCAAGCCAAGGGGGAUCACACAGAGCAAUGCAUGCAUGUUCUUUAUCCACUGAUGAUCCCUUCCGAAGCCAGCUUUAAAACACUGCAGCCGGAACGUACUUCUGCCAUUAACAGCCGCAGAUAAGACGGCUGCUUCUCAGUUCAAAUGAGGUUACAGGCACAGGCUGAGGUCUUUGCCUGUUGCACAAGUGACAGCCACCUUCCCUUGAUGCCCCCAAAACUUCUGACAAAUAGCAUAGGGAACAGGUUCCAUACCUUACAUGCAAACAUUACGGUUCAUUAAUGUUCAGCAGUGAGGUAAAACGGCUGCAACUAUGUCAGUUUCUCUUUCACAACACACCACCAGCGCUCUCAGCUGCUGAUGUCCAACAAAGAAACUGUAUCCUCUGUUGGAGGAAGAGACCUUACUAAAUAGUGAAUCCAUGCCUGUGGCUCUCCUUGCUGUCAUUUAGUAAUAUUGUGCCCCACUACUAAGUUAUUGCUUUAUUUGUGUUCUUUAUACAUGCAGAAAGAAGGACUUUGAG